CAAAGAUAAUUAUAAUAUUUUCAUUGGAAUAUUCACUUAUUGUUAAUACAAGCAACCUUAACAAUUGCCUUUAAAUCUCACCAUCACCAUCUUCACCUCCAUCUACAUAUGCUCUUUUAUUAAAUGCUUUUUAUUCAAGGAUGUGGUAUUUAAAGCUACGGGAUUGUUAUUAUAAUAUAAAAAAAGGGCUACGGAAGGCAUAAUAAUGAUUGGAGCAAAUCAAAUCAAAAGCAACGUCCGUUGAAGGGCGGGUAAAUACAAAUGCAUCUUGUUCUAUCCAAGCAAAUGCCUUUUGCACGUCCCUUGUUACUUGAAUAAUCAUGAUCACACACUUUCUCACACUCCGUCGGAAUGCACUGAAUCAUUGGUAUUUCCGAUCGACAUACAGUUACUUUUGCCUCUGCUAAUAAUCCACCAUCUGCAACAAUAAAACUAUUAUUUAUUAAUAAUUAAUUAUUUCUAGAACACAUAACAAAGAUGAAUCAUAAACAUAUGAUAAGUAAUGUUACUUAGUAAUACAUACUAGAGGCAAAAGAGAGAAUAAUAAACAAAACUAUAAGAGAAGUGGACAUAAUCUGAUUCUUCAUUAUUUCUUGUAUCACGAGGAUGAGAAUAAGAUUAACUAAUCGCUACCAAAUAUCAAGGCAUCUAUCUAUUUAAUUUAUAGAGGAGGAUAAGGAAAAAAAUGAUUCAGCUUUAAUCGAU
rnacentral:lncRNA from 1 species